CCUUCGCGGCUUGUUUCAGGUGCUCUGUGACUUGGGUCGACAGAGUGAAACAGGGAAGCCGGUGAGCGAGUUCUUCUGUUGGUCGAGGAACCGCAAUUCCGGCGCUGCCCCCGCAACGGUAAAUGAGUGAAAACUGUGUCUGAUGCCACUGUGUCGAUUCGAUGCGGGAAGGCGCACAGUCUGGCUUUGCGCCACUCAUGAGCCCGGAGACCGGCCUGAUUCAUCCAGCGGCA
rnacentral:ncRNA from 2 species